rnacentral:rRNA from 1 species
GAUCCUGGCUCAGGACGAACGCUGGCGGCGUGCUUAACACAUGCAAGUCGAGCGAUGAAGCUCCUUCGGGAGUGGAUUAGCGGCGGACGGGUGAGUAACACGUGGGCAACCUGCCUUGUAGAGAGGAAUAGCCAUUCGAAAGGAUGAUUAAUACCUCAUAAUAUUGUAGUUUCGCAUGAAGCAACAAUCAAAGGAGCAAUCCACUACAAGAUGGGCCCGCGGCGCAUUAGCUAGUUGGUGAGGUAACGGCUCACCAAGGCGACGAUGCGUAGCCGACCUGAGAGGGUGAUCGGCCACAUUGGGACUGAGACACGGCCCAGACUCCUACGGGAGGCAGCAGUGGGGAAUAUUGCACAAUGGGGGAAACCCUGAUGCAGCAACGCCGCGUGAGUGAUGACGGUCUUCGGAUUGUAAAGCUCUGUCUUCAGGGACGAUAAUGACGGUACCUGAGGAGGAAGCCACGGCUAACUACGUG